rnacentral:rRNA from 1 species
AGAGUUUGAUCAUGGCUCAGGAUGAACGCUGGCGGCGUGCUUAACACAUGCAAGUCGAGCGAAGCACUUUGGCGGAUUUCUUCGGAUUGAAGCCUUGGUGACUGAGCGGCGGACGGGUGAGUAACGCGUGGGUAACCUGCCUCAUACAGGGGGAUAACAGUUGGAAACGACUGCUAAUACCGCAUAAGCGCACAGUACCGCAUGGUACGGUGUGAAAAACUCCGGUGGUAUGAGAUGGACCCGCGUCUGAUUAGGUAGUUGGUGGGGUAACGGCCUACCAAGCCGACGAUCAGUAGCCGACCUGAGAGGGUGACCGGCCACAUUGGGACUGAGACACGGCCCAAACUCCUACGGGAGGCAGCAGUGGGGAAUAUUGCACAAUGGGGGAAACCCUGAUGCAGCGACGCCGCGUGAGCGAUGAAGUAUUUCGGUGUGUAAAGCUCUAUCCGCAGGGAAGAAAUUGACGGUAC